UGAAGCCGGAAUUGCUAGUAAUGGCAGGUCAGCAUACUGCCGUGAAUACGUUCCCGGGCCUUGUACACACCGCCCGUCACACCAUGAGAGUUGGGAUACCCGAAGCCUGUGAGCUAACAGUAAUGAAGCAGCAGUCGAAGGUAGAAUCAAUGAUUGGGGUGAAGUCGUAACAAGGUAUC
rnacentral:rRNA from 1 species